UGCCAGCAGCCGCGGUAAUACGGAGGGUGCAAGCGUUGUUCGGAAUUACUGGGCGUAAAGCGCGCGUAGGCGGCUAUUUAAGUCAGAUGUGAAAGUCCACGGCUCAACCAUGGAAGUGCGACCGGAACCGGGAAGCUAGAGUUCUGAAGAGGAUAGCGGAAUUCUCAGUGUAGAGGUGAAAUUCGUAGAUAUUGGGAGGAACACCGGUGGCGAAGGCGGCUAUCUGGGAAGAUACUGACGCUGAGACGCGAAAGCGUGGGGAUCAAACAGGAUUAGAUA
rnacentral:rRNA from 1 species